CAUUACGAUUUUCUGAGAUAUUUAAUAUUUAUUCAUAAGGUGACAGGCGGUCACACAAAAAUGUGUAACAAACUGUAAAAUAACUUAUCUCUUCAGACUUAGUUGUAAGCACAAUGUAUUGCUCUCCUUUACUUUUGCCUAAAGAUCAUGCUAACGAAAACUAUGUGUGUCCUGUUCGCACGGAAGGCAAAUGUCACCAAUACAUUUACAAAUUAAGCUAUGGAUAGAAUAAGAUAAAGGAAUGAAGAGUACUUCGUAUUUGGCCCCAAAAGAGAACAGGACGUUUAUGACGACGCCUACAUUUAAAAUUGUAGUUUAAUUUGAAUAAUAUUCUAAUAUAAAUUUAAAACUAAAAUAUUAAAUAAGUUUAAUAAGUUUAACAACACGAUUAUUUUUUAAUAAUCUCCCAACUCCCAAAUCUAAGUGAUCACAUUUACAUAGUACCCCUUCCCCACUUAAAACUAAUGGGUAUCAAGAAACGAAACGCUGACGUCGCCGUUGCUGCCGACGCUGUCUUGUUAAUUUUUGAGCUAUUUAUUUUGAUGUUUUCGGUUUUACGCUAUCAUCAAGUCGCCCAAACGCAAUGCCAAAGUUCUUUAGUAGCUGCAAAAACUGUAUAAAAACACCACAAUUUCUUCAUUGCACUUAAUUGAUUGAUCAUUUCUCUAUCACUUACAAUGUCACACUCGCUCAUUGUCACUUUGUCACACUCGAUCAUUGGCAGUGAUCUUUAUGUGUAAACACUUCAGUUGUGAUCGAGUCAAGAUCAUUUCAUUUAGAGAUCUUUAUGUUGAUCUGUAUUCUUUUUAGGAGAUCGCUUAUCUUCCCAUUUGUAUUCGAGUGAUCUACAAUUGCUCUUGAUCUAGUAUUUAGCCACGCGACUGAUCACAUCUGGUUUCUGAUCUUCUGGCAAUGAUAUGUCAAACCUGCUGAUGGUUCAAUCAUUAAUCUUGUGAAGUACUUUGGAUAGAUUUUCAGGAAAUCCUUGAGAUACUCACAGCUUGUAACAAUCCUCUCAAAGCACUCCAAACUUGGCGAUCAACCCAAUCGGAAACCCGGCAAAAGGGCAAUUCUGACUAAGCCGCUAGUGAACUAGCCCAUUGAGCUUACCAUUUUUGCAUACGGUGGCAUUUUCAAUGGUCUCAUAACCCAGGGCCAGACAAUGAAACCUUCUCAUCCCCCCCACCCCCUUGUGGAUCCACUGUACCUACCACCCACCCCCCCUUUGGAAUCUGCUGUCAAUGUGCGUAACAAUUAAAUCGUGUGGCUUCCUCUUCUGUCUGCAGACAAUUUGCAAAUGAUCGGUCGCCGUGGGUACGGUGGCUUUAGCUUGGCCCACAGGAUGCCAGUGCUGGGAUGGGAUUGGAUUGGAUUGCGUGGCCCAUGCACCUAACUUCAUCACGAUCCGCGACACGAAAAUAGUUGCACUCCUCCCAAAGACGGCAAAGGCGGCGGCAGCGGCGGUGGCGGCGCUCAAUGCGAAGAAGGAGCCUUCUUUUCUUGGAGUCGGAAGCGUCACAUCACGAAGUCGACGCCAACGCCACUGUAAGUAGAAGUGCACUGAGAGAAAUAAAGGGAGUUUUACUAUGACUAUGACUAUGGCUAACUUUUAGAUCCUUCUACUUUUAUAAAGUAAAGAAAUAAUAAGUUACUUAUCAGAUUUAGUCUUUAGAACCUUAAAUAAGGAUAUUUCCAGUGUAAUAAUGGCAACGAGCAAUAGCAAUAGGCCAUAGCAACUGGCAACUGGCUAGUCGCCUCGACUCAAGACGACUGGAAUCGACUUCCAACUGCCACCAGGUUGGCUGCCCCGGCGAUUUCGAUUUCGAGUUCUCGUGGUGCUUUGCAUAUUUAGCAAACACAUUGCCAUGGCUCGUAGCGAAAACGGUUUCAUUGUUGCCGCCAACGACAUGAAAGCCUGCGCUCCUUUCUGGCUUUUGGUGGCGAAAACAACACACACACACACACACAGCCAUAGCCACUCUUGGCCAGCCAUCUCCGCCCGCAGCAGACACUCAACACACAGAUGCCGAUAUAAUAACAAUCGACAAAGAGAGAUGGAGGGGGACGAUGGAUCUAUAUAGUAUAAGCACUAUAGUCAGCACUACGGAUAUAUGGUGGACCUGAAACCGGAGGAGGCCCCGAACGAGGGCUAAGAAGAACCCAACUGAAUGCUGGCCAACAACGAGACCAACCGACAAGAAAAUAAGUUGAAUAAAAUUAUUGUGAACA